UACAGAGGGUGCGAGCGUUAAUCGGAAUUACUGGGCGUAAAGCGCGCGUAGGCGGUUUUGCAAGUCGGGUGUGAAAUCCCCAGGCUUAACCUGGGAACUGCAUUCGAGACUGCAUUACUAGAGUAUGGGAGAGGGAAGUGGAAUUUCCGGUGUAGCGGUGAAAUGCGUAGAUAUCGGAAGGAACAUCAGUGGCGAAAGCGACUCCUGGACCAAUACUGACGCUCAUGUGCGAAAGCGUGGGGAGCAAACAGG
rnacentral:rRNA from 1 species